rnacentral:lncRNA from 1 species
GCAACAAUAUUUGUACCGCUUUUAUUUGGAAAAAUAACCAUCUGAAUGCAUUUCCAUAGUAUAUUACAGUUAAGUACUUCAUGACAUGAUUAGCAUUCAGUAGUUGAAAAAGUAUUAAACUGUGCUUGAGAAGAUUCCAAUUGGUUCAAAGUCAUUCACUGAACUAAAAGUCAUUUCCUCAUUUUUAUAGUCAUGGCAUUUACCAGAGUCAUUCAACUCCAAUUUUCAUAAGAAAACAUUACAGACAAAAUCCCACUGAAAUCAUCAAACAAUAUUUUAUGCUGUUACAAAUAUGUUAUGCAAAAUAUAACACUGGCACCAGAUUUGUAUCAUCACGUUUUGCAAAGAUAUAUUGCACAUGCUAAAGCAUAAAAUAUAUAGACAAAACUACCAAACAAAAGAUAUUUGCAUUGAAUUUUUAGGUCACUGCAUAAGAAACGCAUAGAAUUACAUUUUAUACACACACUCAGAUUGUCACUAUCUUAAAAUGCUCUUCCCCUAUAACACUGACCUAUGGUUUAUGGUUUUGUAAAAAGAAAGCAUUUUAGCACUGCAAAAUCAAACAUAAUUCCUAUAGAAAACUUCAGCAUCUUCAUUUU